rnacentral:rRNA from 1 species
AGUGAACGCUGGCGGUAUGCUUAACACAUGCAAGUCGAACGGUAACAGGUCUAGCUUGCUAGAUGCUGACGAGUGGCGGACGGGUGAGUAACGCGUAGGGAUCUGUCUAGGGGUGUGGGACAACUCGGGGAAACUCGAGCUAAUACCACAUACGUUUUAGAUGUAAAAGUUUAAAAGAAAGGCGGGUAGCAAUACCUGUUGCUCUUAGGUGAACCUGCGUUGGAUUAGCUAGUUGGAAGGGUAAUAGCCUAACAAGGCGAUGAUCAGUAGUUGGUCUUGGAGGAUGAUCAGCCACAUUGGGACUGAGACACGGCCCAAACUCCUACGGGAGGCAGCAGUGGGGAAUAUUGGACAAUGGGCGCAAGCCUGAUCCAGCCAUGCCGCGUGAGUGAUGAAGGCCCUAGGGUUGUAAAGCUCUUUUGUCCGGAAGAAAGCAAUCGGUUAAUACCCGGUGUUCUGACGGUACCGGAAGAAUAAGCACCGGCUAACUUCGUGCCAGCAGCCG